CCGAGCCAAUGACCUAAUUUCAAGAUGUCUGCUACCUACAUUCCGGUUAGUGUUAUGAAGCAUAAACGAAAUAAACACAUAAUUCAUUGAUACACACCGAAAGCCGGGACUCCACAGAUCAUGAGGAUAUCUUAUUUGUCUGCCUGUGUCCUACCGUUAAUGAUCACCAGCUCCGUGAGUCAAAAUGUUUAUUUUACACAACGUUUUCACCAAACAGCAAACAUCUUACAAGCGAUUUGGACAAUGAGGAUUUUGACUCAGCCAACAAAGAUUGCUUUCUAGAAGGAUUGGAUCCACUUUUAGAUCUAGUGGAGGAUGCAGAGGAUUUGGACGAUGACGUUUUGGAGCCACUCCUCCCCAGCAAGGUCUUCACCCCCCACUGCGAUGCCAAUAUCCCCGUCUGAUGGUUCUACAUCCACUUUUCAUAGACCUCUUGAAAAAGAAAAUAGGGGCUUGUGGCACCAUUCGUCCUAACAGAACUGGUUUCCCCAAGACCAAG
rnacentral:lncRNA from 1 species